rnacentral:sRNA from 1 species
GAUAAAUAAAUAAAAAAGUGGGUCACCACAAAAGAAAACAAAAAUAACAAAACAAAAAAACCACCAAGGACAACAAGAUGUGUCAAUCUGUUACUGAUCAAUCGAGGCAGGCACCUUCAUGGACAGAUCCCUUCACUCAGCACCUUCAACCUAUCCUUUCUUUUAUUGCCAACUAAAAUAUCAUGAAAGCUGAGGACUCCGGGAGGCAGUUCUGUACCUCACUUUAAAGUGAGCAUGCUCAGGGAAUGUGAUCCUAACAUGCUCAUGAAUGAAAGUUCACACCCCUCUCUAUGAAGAUGUAUGCACCCUUACAUAACAUUCCUAUGCUUCCUCUGUUGGGGAGUGAGUCUUAGCUUUGCUUUGGAAAUGACUCCUGUACCAGCUUUGCCUGAUUCAGGCACUAAGUAUCUCUCCACUGGUGUCCUAUUUCCUUGUUUAUUUUGGCUCUGAGUUAGACUUGCUGGAUCAGGUUACUCAUUGGUGUUACCCCAGGGAAGCUUUGAAUUGCUGGUUACAUUAAAGAACCCCUUUCAGGAAAGACCUCUCUGCACUGCUGGAUAUAAAACAGAUCAAUAGUAUUCCACAGUGAAUACACACUCAUCAUCUACUAAUUGGUUGAAAGGUAUCUAUGCUGUUUCCAUUCCCUAGCUGUUGUGAAGAGAGCAGCAGUGAACAAGGCUGAGCAAGCGUCUGUGGACCAUGAUGUGGAGUCCUUUGGGCAUGGGCCAAGGAGCGGUACAGAAAAGAAAAAAGAAGUCAGCCGCAGGAACCUGCUGAUUUCUGCCUGUGCCUGGGACUAAACUGAACCAAUCCCACAGCUCCCUUCACCCAAAUCCCAAGGGGGACAGAUCUGCACCCUCAGAAGUGUGGACACUCCAGAGAACUCAGAGGCGUCAACUACUUUCUGCUCAUAUUCCUGAACCAAGAGGAAAUUGCCUACUGCCAUCUCUGUCCUCUGGGCACAGGGACCUAGGAGCAGUCAGGGGCAAGACCCUUCAGGUGCCUCACUACUCACUGACAUGGUGCAGUGCCUACUCUUCCCCUAUUCUCCAUUACUUUGCCAUAGCAUAAAGACUGGGGUCUUAAUGAAGCAAAAACCAUGAAGUGUAAGAACACACUGGGAAUUGGAACUUGCUGAUGGUUGUCAACAGCAUCAGGGAGACUCUGGACAUGGUAUAAGGGUUCUGGACAACAUCUAUGUGACAAGGUGCUGGAAAUGGCACCACCACGAUCAUCGACUUGCUUUGGAAUGUAGGUGGUCUUGGUGAGAACUUGGCUCACAUUUGGAUGGUAAACAACCCAUCAUGUGCCUUUUGAUUAUAUAAGAUGCUAUGGCACAAACAUUUUCACUUAAACUCUAAAAUCCUGCUUGAAGAAAUGUUGUUCACUAUAACUGGAUUGGAAAUGCAAGAGACAUGCCCAAACGGUUGGGGUUUGAAAGACAUUCUAUGUGGUCUGACUAAGCUGGACCCUUAGUGCAGGAAUCCCAUGGAGAAGCAACUAUGGAAGGUUAUCCAAAGGAGCAAGCAGAGAAAACCUCAGUGUUUCUGAUCUUUGGCCUUGACCUUUUCUUUCAGGACCAUCUCCCCCAUUUUUCUACGCAUCCUUAUUUUACGUUUAUGAAUAAAAGAAAGCCAUGUCAGCAUAGACUAACCAAAUGAUGUCGGACAUGCAUCCUUUAUUAGCACUGAUAUACCAUGUUCCUACUGUUGUUAAUGAAGAGCAAUAGUACAGUUAGAAGAAGGGAUGGAGACAGAAAGAAUGAGAUGAGGAAACUGAGCAGUCUGAGAGAGAACAGCAUGCCUUCCUUCAGUGCUGUUCUGUGUGGGCCUGGUGGGAGUCCAUGCAGUCUCUCAUGUUCUUUGUCAUUAUCCCCAUCACCCAGUCUUCUGUGCAUACUGUUAGGAGUGAAACCCUCAAGUAGAAAUCAGAAGAUCAGAAGGGUCAAUAUUUGUACAGAUCCUUCUUUCUGUAGUCUGGAAUACUGGUGGAUCCUCCACAUUUCAAUGUGCUUACUUUUAAGUAAGCCGAUUGGUAUCCCUUCUAAAGAGGUCUGCCAAUGAGAGCUCUGUGAAUUAGACAGGCAGACAUAUACAAUGAUCAUAAUUUCUUUUCUAGUUGCCCAAACUGUCCACUGCACCCAAGGUCUGUGCUGUGCGCUGUGGUCACAAAGCAGCGCAGAUUGGAUGGCUGACCGAAUCCUAUGGCACGAGCUUUUNGUCCCCAGAGAUUGGCUUUUGUGACUUUGGGGGAUAUGAUAGAAUUUUGGAUAAAGAUUAAAAAAAACCUCAGGUGACAAUAGAUGCUGGCCAGGAUGUGGAGAAAGAGAAACAUUCCUUAA